GUAGUGCUUUAGCCAUCUGUGACUUUGGCGACAUUAGGAAGGAGUUUGUCCCCUGUGAGGAGAGGUGGGAUAAUGGCUCCAUUGUUCCCAGCUCCAGGGGAAGAAAAUGACCUGGCAAGGAAACCUGAAAGUGCCUGAAAGUUAGGAAGCCCUGUUCCCGUGGUCUGAGCGGGGCUGCAGGCGAGCUCCUCUCGGGAGAGGCCCCUGGAACCUGUUCCCUCCAUCCUGCAGAGCUGGAGAACAACGAGCAGGGCUUGCAAGCCACCAAAAAAUACAGGCAGCAUGUUGAGAGAUGAACAAAAUGUGCAUCUUUUUUCAGCAAAGCAGCUCAAGCACACGGAGGGUGGGGAGUAAUUAUUUAUAGUGCCAUCAGCAGAAAUAAUAGAAUGAAUUGAAGGGCUGAAAAGUUUUGCUGACUCUCAGGGAAUGCGUCCUGGCACGGACGGAUCAUUGCCGGGCCCAGCCCUUCGUAUCUCCAGCGCUCCCAAGAGCAGCCUGGAGACACAGCAGAGCCUGGGAUCCAGGGAGCUGCUCCCAGUGGGAGGAUGGAGCUUCCCUGGCAGCUCCCAGCUCGCUGCAGAGCCCCCUGUGCUGCCCGAGGCCGGAUCCAUGUCCCGCUGGAUGCCUGAGCACGGGAGGAGCAGCGCUGCCAGGCAAGGGCUGCGUGCCCAGGUUCUGGUGGCUUCACUCCCUCUGGGCAGAUCUUCCUGGCUCUUACGGACUGCCAGGAAAUGAGGAGCUUCUCCCCAGCCCCCAUUGUUCAUCAGGUUUGAGUAUUCUGUGCUGGAUUAAAGCCACAGAGGGAUUUGGGACUGAAUCAAGAUGACCUUCGGGUUCUGCUAAGACCAUCAGAGAGCGAGGAGAUCACUUGUAUGAUCCAUGAAUGUAUCCCUGCAUGGGCUGGAGGUGGCUGAGUGUCCCAGACAUCUUUUAUGGAAAAUCCUUUCCUUAGGAUUUUUCCUCCUGAGAAAGGAGGCCUCAGGAACAAAAUGUAAACAAUGAUUAUCUGCUGCUGUGGGAUGCAACAGGUGCAUCUGUGAUUGGUCUCAUGUGGUUGUUUCUAAUUAAUGGCCAAUCACAGUGAGCUGGCUGGCACACAGAGCCUGAGCCACAAACCUUUGUUAUCGUUCUUUCCUUUUCUAUUCUUAGUCAGCCUUCUGAUGAAAUCCUUUCUUCUAUUCUUUUACUAUAG
rnacentral:lncRNA from 1 species